AUAAGAGGAGGGAGGGAAAAAGAAGAGACAGAGGAUGAGGGUGUCUACUAUGUCUUUUCUGUAUUUGACAAGGAACGGUAGCCCUGAAAGCUUAGCAAUGUGGUGCCCUAACAAGACCUGCACAGUGAAAACACCAGUUACCAUCACAACACAGAAGGGAAAACGUCACAGGACCCCAGCCCUGCGCGCGCGCACACACACACACACACACCACACAGUGCAUAACAUAAAUGGACUCAGUGGCUUGUAUUUAUAAAUAGUGUGUGAUUAUAUUUGUUUUCCUGUAGUUUAUGUGCAGGUAUGUAUAUGUGUAUAAAACAGUAACUAACUAAAUCAUGAAGAAGUCAUCAGUAGGACAUGGGAAGAAUUGGAGGAAGACGAGAGUACUCUGAAAGUUAUAUUAAUACAGUACUUAUGUAAUUCUUAAAAAUUAAUAAAUAAAUGAAAAAUGUUAGUAAUGAAUCCUCACAUUCCUAACUUGGCAUCAAUAACUAAGAACUUGUGGAUGGUCUUAUUUUCUUUAUGCAUCUUGUUUUAUUUUGACGUAAAUUAUAGGUAUUAUACAAUGUCAUCUGUUAGUAUUUUAAAUGUACACACUCACUCUAGAUGUAAUUUUACUUAACUUUAUUUUACAUCUGUUGUACUUUGACUGAAGUCACAUACUUCCAUUACAAUAUACUUAGAAUAUUACGUCUCAGCAUUAGCCAAGAUUAUCAUUACUUAAUUUGCUGUUUCAAAAUUAGUCCUAUAAGAAGUUAAUUGUACUAAACUAUUUCC
rnacentral:lncRNA from 1 species